rnacentral:rRNA from 1 species
GACGAACGCUGGCGGCGUGCUUAACACAUGCAAGUCGAACGGAAAGGCCCUGCUUUUGUGGUGUGCUCGAGUGGCGAACGGGUGAGUAACACGUGAGUAACCUGCCCUUGACUUUGGGUUAAAUUCAUGAAACUGGGGCUAAUACCGGAUAGGAGCUCCUGCUGUAUGGUGGGGGUUGGAAAGUUUCGGCGGUUGGAGAUGGACUCGCGGCUUAUCAGUUUGUUGGUGGGUUAGUGUAUUACCAAGGCUUUGACGGGUAGCCGGCCUGCGAGGGUAACCGGCCACAUUGGGACUGAGAUACGGCCCAGACUCCUACGGGAGGCAGCAGUGGGGAAUAUUGCACAAUGGGCGGAAGCCUGAUGCAGCAACGCCGCGUGCGGGAUGACGGCCUUCGGGUUGUAAACCGCUUUCGCCUGUGACGAAGCGUGAGUGACGGUAAUGGGUAAAGAAGCACCGGCUAACUACGUG